GACAGGGCUUCUUGGGCAUUGAUGAUCUGCACUUUUCGCUGCAAGGUAAAUUCACACUCGGAAGGAAAUGGGAUACCUAACCCCUUCUAAUUCUGAGCCCUACUGGCUUCUCUGCCUCCCGUGCUUUUGAAAACUUAUCUGCAUUUUCCAACUGGAGAAGAAGCCUAGAGUGCAGUUUGAGUGUCUUUUUUAGCGCAGCUCUCUGCUUCCAAGGAAUCCUGGAAGGAAUUGGUCAUCUUUGGUAUUUUAUUUAUAUGUGUGUGUAUUUUAUUUGCAAUCUGAGUCUAAAAGCUAGCCACGGUUUCUUUGGCAUCAUUUCCACUUAUUUUGUGUCUUUUUUUUACACAGCUGCCUUGAGUCUUGCAUCUGUA
rnacentral:lncRNA from 1 species